CUGCGGUGAACUACGUUCCCGGGUCUUGUACACACCGCCCGUCAAGCCACGAAAGUCGCCAACACCCGAAGUCCGACAUUAGUCGGCCUAAGGUGGGGAGAUGAUUGGGGUU
rnacentral:rRNA from 1 species